UCGUGGAUUAAUUUGUCUGGUUAAUUCCGUUAACGAACGAGACCUUAACUUGCUAAUUGGGGUUGGCAUUUUAUGUCUUUCCCUUUUAGUAAGGACCAUGUGUGUCUAACACAAGGAAGCGUGAGGCAAUAACA
rnacentral:rRNA from 1 species